rnacentral:rRNA from 1 species
UAGGGAAUCUUCCACAAUGGACGCAAGUCUGAUGGAGCAACGCCGCGUGAGUGAAGAAGGUUUUCGGACCGUAAAGCUCUGUUGUUGGUGAAGAAGGAUAGAGGUAGUAACUGGCCUUUAUUUGACGGUAAUCAACCAGAAAGUCACGGCUAACUACGUGCCAGCAGCCGCGGUAAUACGUAGGUGGCAAGCGUUGUCCGGAUUUAUUGGGCGUAAAGCGAGCGCAGGCGGAAGAAUAAGUCUGAUGUGAAAGCCCUCGGCUUAACCGAGGAAUUGCAUCGGAAACUGUUUUUCUUGAGUGCAGAAGAGGAGAGUAGAACUCCAUGUGUAGCGGUGGAAUGCGUAGAUAUAUGGAAGAAUACCAGUGGCGAAGGCGGCUCUCUGGUCUGCAACUGACGCUGAGGCUCGAAAGCAUGGGUAGCGAACAGGAUUAGAUACCCCUGGUAGUCCAUGCCGUAAACGAUGAGUGCUAAGUGUUG